CUGCUCUCCUUUCAGAUGCUCCAUUAAUAACAGCAGAACUAAAGCGAGUUAUGAAGCUCUACAGCUGUGUAGGUGAUGCCGUUUUCUUCCAGGACUCCUUAUGGCUUUAUUCCAGUCCUGUCCGAGGGGAACAGAUGAAGCCCUGUGAGGGACUGGACUGGCGAUGUGUCCAGCGUUUCUCCGUCUGCGGUCCGAGACAUUGGACAGACUCCAGAUCCUCUCGACCCUACAGAGGACAAGCGGUUUGAAGAAGGGAUGGGUGGUUGAAAAUCUAAUGAUAUAUUUGUACUAAGCAAAAUAAAUUAUUCGCCAGAUGCGUGUUUUUGUUUUAU
ensembl:lncRNA